GCCCGACUCGGAUUUUUCAUCUUUUUCUUUUUUUUUUAUUUUAUUAAAACGACGCCGUGGCCAGGCGUUUGGGGACGCCCGGCCUGGCCCGACAACCCAGAUCCAUUGACCCGCUCCGCGACCCGGCUCCCUGCGAACCCUACCCGACCCGGAUCCGAAUCGCGACCCGACUCCCGCCACCCCCCGAAUCUCGCGAAACCCUACCCGGUUCCGAGACCCGGAUCCGACUUGGCGACCCAGAAAAUCGCAAACCCUAGGGUUUGCGAAUCCGCGGCGCCGAAGGGGGGACCGAGGUGCUUGGCAGCGACGGCGACUACGGCGGUGACGACGAAGGCGACAACGGCGACGGCAACGCUAAUGGCGGCGCUCUUUUUUUUUUUUACCUUCUCUCGAACGGGGACGGCGACGGCAACAAUGCCAGAUCGAAGGCAGCAGUGGCGGAGGCGCUCGGCAGCACGGCGGGGUUUUGCAUAGCAGCGGCGUCGGGGGGUGUGACGGGGACGGCACGGCUCAAUGAUUGCGACGGAACCCUGCUCUUCGAAGUUCACUCAGAUUUGGACGACGUCGGGGAAAGCGGCGGCGGCGAGGCGUGAGGACGGCGGCACGGCAAGAUCUGGGGCAGUAGCGGCGUCGGGGCGGGGAACAGCAACGACAGAGCAGCGGUCGUAGGUGGCGGAGAGCUUCUGGCUUCCCAGAUUUGGCCCUCCCUCCUCCGGCUGACCUCGUUCAGCCCUUAUUUCACAGAUCCAGGUGCUCGGAUCUACCUUCCUCGGGCUCGAUCUUCUCUCACUCAGGCCAGAUCCGAGCCUCCACCGGCCGGAUCUGACCUUCUCGAAGUCGCUUGCGGCCGGCCUUCCCCGAAGUCUCUCAGUGGAAGGUGGGCUGAGCUCGCGACUCGAGUUCUCUCCCGCGCUCGCCCUUCAAUCCUUCUCGAUGUCUCUCAGUGAAGGAUCUCCGAGCUCACCCGUGCCAUUCUUCAACGAAGGUGGUGCCCUUUUAUAGGCGAGGGAAUCUGGUCGACGGAGCUUCGACCGCCGGUCCCCUUCGUGCGCCGAGCGGUUCUCCUCGGCUGAACCGGCGUCCCAUCCGAGCUCAUCCAGCGAAGCAUGCUCGGCAUUGAUGGCGUUCGCGAUCUUAUCUUCUCCGGCCGACGUUGGCCUACUCCCCUCGGCCAUAGGCCGUCCUUUGCACGCGUCGUCGUCUUCUGCGCGUGAACUACAGAGGCAGAGAA
rnacentral:lncRNA from 1 species